GACGAACCGUGCAAACGUUAUUCGGAAUCACUGGGCAUAAAGGGCGCGUAGGCGGCUCCACAAGUCAGGGGUGAAAUCCGGCAGCUUAACUGUCGCAGUGCCUUUGAUACUGUGGAGCUAGAGGGAGGUAGGGGUCUGUGGAACUUCCGGUGGAGCGGUGAAAUGCGUUGAUAUCGGAAGGAACGCCGGUGGCGAAAGCGACGGACUGGAUCUCUUCUGACGCUGAGGCGCGAAAGCCAGGGGAGCAAACGGG
rnacentral:rRNA from 1 species